GACGAACGCUGGCGGCGUGCUUAACACAUGCAAGUCGAGCGGUAAGGCCCUUUCGGGGGUACACGAGCGGCGAACGGGUGAGUAACACGUGGGUGACCUGCCCUCAGCUCUGGGAUAAAGCCUGGGAAACCGGGUCUAAUACCGGAUAUGACUCCAUGACGCAUGGUUGUGGGGUGGAAAGCCUUGUGCGACUGAGGAUGGGCCCGCGGCCUAUCAGCUUGUUGGUGGGGUGAUGGCCUACCAAGGCGACGACGGGUAGCCGGCCUGAGAGGGCGACCGGCCACACUGGGACUGAGACACGGCCCAGACUCCUACGGGAGGCAGCAGUGGGGAAUCUUGCGCAAUGGGCGAAAGCCUGACGCAGCGACGCCGCGUGAGGGAUGACGGCC
rnacentral:rRNA from 1 species